AAGGGAUGCUGCAAGUAGAUCUCCUUCAAACGUAAGACUUGCAUUUUUAAAUGGAGGGAGGCGGUACCCAAGGACUUGCAUGGGCUGGAGGGGGAGAGAUAAGAAAGGAGAGGUGGACCUGAAAGAGGAAGCUCUUGGGUGAGGAACCCUGCAGAGAUGAAGCUUAAUGUGAUCCUCCGGCCACUAACAAGGGACUUCGUUCCCCAGCAGAGCAGCUCUGCCAGGCAGAGACCGGCUGUCCGAGGAGGACCACCCAUCGACUGCGAGUGGAAGCUCUGC